rnacentral:tRNA from 4 species
AGGGGCAUCGUACAACGGUAGUACACCGGUCUCCAAAACCGUCAAUGUGGGUUCGAUUCCUACUGCCCCUGCCA